GCAAAAGUCGUAACACGGUUUCCGUAGGUGAACCUGCGGAAGGAUCAUUCACACGUGAAGCAUGAAAGCAGAAAAAGGAAGCUUUUGAUCGUUUCUCCCUUGCUUGCACACGCUGCUGCUUUCGAGCAGCCAGCCAAUUUGCAUGCAUGCAGGUGGGGGGGUGAUCAUGUGGGCGUCUCUUUGACUGCUGUUCAGGCUCAUCUAAUGGAUUGAACAUGCCCUAUAACAACUUGUAAAUCUGUUUUUUUUCUCACAACGAGUUUUCUUUUAGAUAUGUGUAAAUAUAUCGGAAGGAGAAGAAACAGACUGCUGUACAGAACUGUGUGGCCCGCUGUAUGAAUGUGGUUGUAGGUAGGUAUGUUGGGUCGCUCACGCCUCUCGCUCUUCGCAUGCAUCAUUAAUCUGUACUACACCCUUUUAGGAAGGUGUGUGUUGAUUGGUGGAUGUAGCGGAGUAGCCUGUGGGGCUUUUUACUCCAACAGCCAUAUCACAUCACAAAUCAUAUAUUUUGGGCUGUUAUCAGUUUUUGCAGUUUUUUUCAUUCUGUUUACCAGAAUGUGUAGAUUCAAAGUUAAAAAACUUUCA
rnacentral:misc_RNA from 1 species